ACAGCCGCAGCUCCCCCGCCUCCUCCUGCUCGCUCCUCGGUCCUCUUCCGUCCCUCCCUCCUGGUCACCUGUGAAAGCUACUGUCUUCUGUAUUUUAUUAUCGAAUUGACACAGGGGAGAUUACCACGAAGCAGGCUGGCGUACGCUCCUUGUUUAUUGCCAGUUGCUACCUUCCUUGCUCUUCAAUGGAAUAUACCUGACCUGGGAGCUUUCACACUCCUCGACUCGUCGUACAAGUUACUGAAUAGUCAGCUUGCUUCAGUAGUGGCUACUAAUGGUUCAUGUCAUGGCAGGCUUGUCUUGAAUUAAUAAAUCUGCUGGUGACAAGAUGAAAAUGGCUGGCUCUGCUGUGCUGCUCAUUUCGCUCCUAUCGGCUAUCGCCCCCCUACCCUCUGAAGCCCUCAACGUGGGAGGUCAUCUGCUGAAAUCAAAGACGUUCCGUUCUCCGCCCAUCUUACUGGGGCCUGGAUCAGUCUCAAACAAGUACUACCAUGACGUCGACUUCCCCCGAGGCCACCUUGCAGUCAAGAGCUUUAAUGCUGAGGUCGUCGAUGAGAAUGGCGUCCCUGUCCCGCUCCAUGAGACUUACCUGCAUCACUGGGUUGCAGUACCAUACUAUGCUCUCAAGGACAACCAGAGCUCUGAUGCGCAAAAGGUUCCCGCAAUGCUUAAAGGGAAUGAUGGAGUGUGCAAGAGAGCACUAACCCAGUACUUCGGGCUCGGUUCCGAGACUCGCCACACCGCCACAUGGGUUCCUGAUCCUUAUGGAAUUGAGACCGGCAACCAAGAGAAGGCCCCUGAAGGCUAUGAGGAGAAAUGGCUGCUCAAUAUUCAUGCCAUCGACACGAGGGGCGUGGCCGACAAGCCUAGCUGCACCGAGUGCAAGUGCGACUUCUACAAUGUCACAAUUGAUGAGUAUGGGCGCACAGUCUCGAAGAACUACACUGGUGGGUUGCUUUGCUGCUAUGAUCAGACCCAGUGUCGGCUCAAAGCAGGGUUCAACGCCGAGGUGCGGAAGGUGUUCUUGCAGUACACCGUGACUUGGCUCGACUGGACUGAUGCGGUGGUGCCUGUCAAGAUCUACAUAUUUGACGUUACGGAUACCGCUAUGCUCGACGGGACUCAUGAACACUCUUGCAAGGUUGAGUAUCAAGUUGAGGAAUGCAGCGCGGAAAACCGAGCCAACAAUGAGUGCAUCCAUACUAAGACUACCAGAGCGGUCUUGCCGCGUGGAGGAGAUAUCGUGUACAGUGUUGCACACCAGCACUCUGGAGGAGUCGGUGCUUCUCUGCAUGGCCAGGAUGGACGCCUUCUAUGUGAAUCGCUUCCAACUUACGGCACAGGGAAGGAGGCAGGGAACGAGGCAAACUACAUUGUCGGCAUGUCGAGUUGCUACCCUAAGCCAGGAUCCAUCAAGGUCAGCGACGGCGAGGUGCUGACCAUCGUCUCCAACUACAGCAGCGACCGAGAGCACACCGGCGUCAUGGGCCUGGUCUACAUCCUCGUGGCCGAGCCGCAGCAGCCGGCUCCGGCGCCAUCCCUGUGCUUCAGUUUUCCGGCCCCAUGGUGCCUACCGGCAUGGAUGUCUAGCAACAUGUGAAGAGUAGAUUAUCAUCUACCUGCAAUACAAAUGGUGAGGCCAGAAGAAGCUGAACCAAUCACCCUGGAUCAAUCAUCGUCAUAGUUAUAAGAUGGAUGUGUUUUUGUCAUACUAUUACUAGCUAAUAUACAGAAGCAGUCACCGGUCAGUGAGCAAUGUCAUUUCGAUGGACCAUCAGUUUCUGAUGCUUUGUAAUUAGUUAUUAUCAGUAGUAGUGUAUGAAGCUGAGUUGUAUGAGUUGAUCACCGCCAUAAGAAAAACUAGAGUCGAUAUAAUAGUAAGGAGAAGUACUUCGGUACAACCCCAACGUAUAAGGGGUAGUAUUGUC
rnacentral:rRNA from 1 species